AAGUGAACAUCGUCGGUAUUGACUGCAUCGCGUGUCGCCCUUUUCCGGUUGAUCCCGCCGGAGGUUACUGCUAUCGAGGUUCGACUAAGCCAUGCGAGUCGAAUGUAGCAAUACAUGGCGUACUGCUCAGUAACACGUGGACAACCUACCCUUGGGAUGGGGAUAAACCCGGGAAACUGGGUAUAAUACCCGAUAGUCCUCGACUGCUGGAAUGCAUCGAGGUCGAAAGCUCCGGUGCCCAAGGAUGGGUCUGCGGCCUAUCAGGUAGUAGUGGGUGUAGCGUACCUACUAGCCUACGACGGGUACGGGUUGUGAGAGCAAGAGCCCGGAGAUGGAUUCUGAGACACGAAUCCAGGCCCUACGGGGUGCAGCAGGCGCGAAAACUUUACAAUGCUGGAAACAGCGAUAAGGGAACCUCGAGUGCCAGGUUACAAAUCUGGCUGUCGUGAUGCCUAAAAAGCAUUGCAUAGCAAGGGCCGGGCAAGACCGGUGCCAGCCGCCGCGGUAACACCGGCGGCUCGAGUGGUAACCGUUAUUAUUGGGUCUAAAGGGUCUGUAGCCGGCCGGAUAAGUCUCUUGGGAAAUCCAGCAGCUCAACUGUUGGGCUUUCAGGAGAUACUGUCUGGCUCGAGGCCGGGAGAGGUGAGAGGUACUUCAGGGGUAGGGGUGAAAUCUUGUAAUCCUUGAAGGACCACCAGUGGCGAAGGCGUCUCACCAGAACGGACCUGACGGCAAGGGACGAAAGCUAGGGGCACGAACCGGAUUAGAUACCCGGGUAGUCCUAGCCGUAAACGAUACUCGCUAGGUGUCGGCCACGGUGCGACCGUUGUCGGUGCCGUAGGGAAGCCGUGAAGCGAGCCACCUGGGAAGUACGGCCGCAAGGCUGAAACUUAAAGGAAUUGGCGGGGGAGCACCACAACGGGUGGAGCUUGCGGUUUAAUUGGAUUCAACGCCGGAAAUCUUACCGGGACCGACAGCAAUAUGAAGGCCAGGCUGAAGACUUUGCCGGAUUAGCUGAGAGGUGGUGCAUGGCCGUCGUCAGUUCGUACUGUGAAGCAUCCUGUUAAGUCAGGCAACGAGCGAGACCCACGCCCACAGUUGCCAGCGUACUCUCCGGAGUGACGGGUACACUGUGGGGACCGCCGCUGCUAAAGCGGAGGAAGGAAUGGGCAACGGUAGGUCAGUAUGCCCCGAAUAUCCCGGGCUACACGCGAGCUACAAUGGUUGGUACAAUGGGUAUCUACCCCGAAAGGGGAUGGAAAUCUCCUAAAGCCAAUCUUAGUUCGGAUUGAGGGCUGCAACUCGCCCUCAUGAAGCUGGAAUCCGUAGUAAUCGCGUUUCAACAGAACGCGGUGAAUACGUCCCUGCUCCUUGCACACACCGCCCGUCAAACCACCCGAGUAGGGUCUGAAUGAGAGCGCUUCCUUCGGAGGCGUUCGAAUUUGGGCUUUGCAAGGGGGGUUAAGUCGUAACAAGGUAACCAAGGGCGACACGCGAUUGCAGCGAGCCUCAGACACUGGCCGUCGUACCUACCUU
rnacentral:rRNA from 1 species